rnacentral:rRNA from 1 species
UACAGAGGUCUCAAGCGUUGUUCGGAUUCACUGGGCGUAAAGCGUGCGCAGGCGGUUUUGUAAGUCUGUCGUGAAAGCCCCGGGCUCAACCUGGGAAUUGCGAUGGAUACUGCCUUGCUCGAGUACUGGAGAGGGAACUGGAAUUUACGGUGUAGCAGUGAAAUGCGUAGAGAUCGUAAGGAAGGCCAGUGGCGAAGGCGAGUUCCUGGACAGUUACUGACGCUGAGGCACGAAGGCCAGGGGAGCAAACGGG